rnacentral:rRNA from 1 species
CGAUAGUGAAACAGUACCGUGAGGGAAAGGUGAAAAGAACCCCGGGAGGGGAGUGAAAAGAACAUGAAACCGUAAACUUACAAGCAGUAGAAGGACGACUAAAACGUCUGCCUGCGUGCCUGUUGAAGAAUGAGCCGGCGACUCAUAGGUAGUGGCAGGUUAAGGCAGUGAAUGCUGGAGCCACAGUGAAAGCGAGCCUGAAUAGGGCGUUUGUCACUAGUUAUGGACCCGAACCCGGGUGAUCUAACCAUGGUCAGGUUGAAGCUUAGGUAAUACUAAGUGGAGGACCGAACCGACUGAUGUUGAAAAAUCAGCGGAUGAGUUGUGGUUAGGGGUGAAAUGCCAAUCGAAUUCGGAGCUAGCUGGUUCUCCCCGAAAUGCGUUUUGGCGCAGCGGUGAAUGUUAUAAUUUAGGGGUAAAGCACUGUUACGUAUGCGGGCUGGUAAUUCGGUACCAAAUCGUUGCAAACUAAGAAUACUAAAUGUACAGUUCACCAGUAAGACUGUGGGGGAUAAGCUCCAUUGUCAAGAGGGAAACAGCCCAGAGCACCAGUUAAGGCCCUUAAAUAAUUACUAAGUGGUAAAGGAGGUGGGAGUGCAUAGACAAUCAGGAGGUUUGCUUAGAAGCAGCAAUCCUUUAAAGAGUGCGUAAUAGCUCACUGGUCUAGUAAUCCUGCGCCGAAAAUGAACGGGACUUAAAUAAUUUGCCGAAGCUGUGAGAUA